AGUGAACGCUGGCGGUAGGCCUAACACAUACAAGUCGAACGGCAGCACAGUAAGAGCUUGCUCUUACGGGUGGCGAGUGGCGGACGGGUGAGGAAUACAUCGGAAUCUACUUUUUCGUGGGGGAUAACGUAGGGAAACUUACGCUAAUACCGCAUACGACCUACGGGUGAAAGCAGGGGAUCUUCGGACCUUGCGCGAUUGAAUGAGCCGAUGUCGGAUUAGCUAGUUGGCGGGGUAAAGGCCCACCAAGGCGACGAUCCGUAGCUGGUCUGAGAGGAUGAUCAGCCACACUGGGACUGAGACACGGUCCAGACUCCUACGGGAGGCAGCAGUGGGGAAUAUUGGACAAUGGGCGCAAGCCUGAUCCAGCCAUACCGCGUGGGUGAAGAAGGCCUUCGGGUUGUAAAGCCCUUUUGUUGGGAAAGAAAAGCAGCAGGUUAAUACCCCGCUGUUCUGACGGUACCCAAAGAAUAAGCACCGGCUAACUUCGUG
rnacentral:rRNA from 1 species